CGCUAGACUCUCCGCAUGACAGUCAAAGGAACAGCGUCCUCACCUUCCUAUGGAGGAGUCGCGGUCGUCGGGUCUGCGAGAAGCAAAAGACCUGGCACAAAAGGCCAGGGUCAGAAGGAGACUUACCCAGGAUGAGUGGUGCAACAAGGAGGGCUAUAAAGAGGACAUCCAUUCUGGGUUUUGCACUAUCACUGUACUCCUAAGGAGCAACCCGUCCUCAUACAAAUGAUGAUUCCUGCUAAUAUGAAAUCUGAGGAAAAGACACCACUCAAGUUUAUUUUCCAGACUAUAAAUGAAGGAAGUAUGACA